rnacentral:lncRNA from 1 species
GUUUGAUUGCCUGUUGUAACAUUUGAGUUUGCAGUAUGUAGAUUAAAUAACCUCAGAGCAAUAUUGCUUUUUUUUUGCAGAGUGAAGACAAGCCACAGCUCCUGGGAAGAAGCUGAACAAACACCUGUGUGGAAAUAAUAUAACCAAUAAAUGAAAUGUAAAGGAAAAUGUGGUCAUUUUUGUUUAAAUGGUAGAUGUUGCAAAAAUAGUUUAAAAUAUUGCUUUUUGUUUUUUAAAUUCUGAAAAGGGAUCCAAAGCAUUUUGAAAGAAAGACAGUUUGAACAUUUCAACACAAAUGUGAAGUGCCAUUGCUAGUAUCUUAAGAUUAAAUUCAUAAUUUUUUCCGUGUUAUGGUCCUCUAUACAGCUGUCAUAUUUACACUACGUUUUGAGGUUUGCUAUGGCAAUCCACAAAAUAUCCAGGUUAACUGUGUACUGCAACUAGUAUGAAAUAUGAUGAAACAGCUCUCUCUUGAGGUGAAUAUGCAGUGUGACACCCGAAUGCCACAAUAACAGAGUUAAAGACAGUCACAUUAGGUGGCAGAGAGAUGGAAAUAUUUCCAGAACACCGCCAUCCAUUUCCCCCCGGAGUAGCCAUUGCACAGCUGGCUUCACUCAGCAAUUAGCCAACCAACAGUAAAAGUUGUUGAAGAGCUGCCCACUCCUUCGGUGUGGACAAGCUUCAGUGCUGUGUGGUGGGCUUGGGCGUCUGAGUUUGAACGCCAAACCUGCACAGGCCUAAGAGCAGGUGGUGCCUGGUUACUACCAUAUGAUGAUGAAGCAUACUCAACAAAAGGGAUAUGGAGAAACCAA